CGAUACAAAUAAACGAUAAAUGUAUCUACAUCGAUUCGAUAUGAGACUCAUUAUGAAUGUGUUUAGCAAGAUAGUGGACCAAAUUGGACUCAUUUUAAUGGACAUUCCUAUUUCUGCAGAUAGAUAGGCGAAAACUGAUGUCAGUGUCUGGACCUCGAUUUUUAUAUGAAAAACUGUCAAUAUUUCCAACAGUUUCAGGAAUACAAGAUCUUUUGCAGAAAUCUGCCGUUCUGGAAUGGGUCUUUUUUCACUUUUUACCGAAACAGUUCCAAAGCACUUUAUGACGAAGUAUCCAAUAAUGUGACUUACAUUUGCUUCUCUGCAUUGGUUUUUACCAAUUACUACAGCUUUUGCUGUAGACAAUUUUAUAGGCAAUUCGAACACCUAUUGUGGGGAAAUGGUUCGUUCUUGUUGGCUGGAUGUUUGCUUGUUUUGUUUUCUAAUAUGUAAUUAUUUUUGAAUAUAUAGUUCUUCUUAAA